UGGGGAAUAUUGCACAAUGGGCGCAAGCCUGAUGCAGCCAUGCCGCGUGUAUGAAGAAGGCCUUCGGGUUGUAAAGUACUUUCAGCGGGGAGGAAGGUGUUGUGGUUAAUAACCACAGCAAUUGACGUUACCCGCAGAAGAAGCACCGGCUAACUCCGUGCCAGCAGCCGCGGUAAUACGGAGGGUGCAAGCGUUAAUCGGAAUUACAGGGCGUAAAGCGCACGCAGGCGGUCUGUCAAGUCGGAUGUGAAAUCCCCGGGCUCAACCUGGGAACUGCAUCCGAAACUGGCAGGCUUGAGUCUUGUAGAGGGGGGUAGAAUUCCAGGUGUAGCGGUGAAAUGCGUAGAGAUCUGGAGGAAUACCGGUGGCGAAGGCGGCCCCCUGGACAAAGACUGACGCUCAGGUGCGAAAGCGUGGGGAGCAAACA
rnacentral:rRNA from 1 species